UUAUGAUGGAGAAGCUGCUGCAUAUGAUUUAUGAAAAACUACAAUAUUCAGCAGACUUCAAACCAACAGGCCUCAAUCUUAUUCCUGCCCGGCUUUUUGAUGAGAAAGGACAAGAAAUUAAAAACCCACUUAUACUGAAGAAUGAGCAAAAAAUUUGGGUUUCUUAUGGUAAAGAUUACAGGUCUCCCUUAAACCGUGUUCUAAGUUUGACCUUUGACAGAGUGACUGCAGCUGAAAAGGAUGGUAUCACAGUUAUUUAUAAAACUCUUCUGGAUCCUAACGUUGAUCUGCUGCCUGGAUGUGACAAUUGGGAAGCUUGUACAGAAUUUCCAGGCAACUUCCAGUGCACAAACCACCAGACACUUCAAAACUUGGAAAAGGUGGACAUGAAUAGCCAUUUUAUACAGUACAAGGCCGAUCCUCAGAUAGUUUUUCAUGUCUCUGUUGCCAUGGAUAAAAUGAGGAAAGUACUUCCCAGAAGAAUGGACUGUCAGGAUCUAAAAGUCCCAUCAACACUGUGGCCUUUGGCUAACAUGUGGCUAAUCACAAAGGCUGGAAUGAUUCUGAGUCGAGCUAUGGUACAGAGCUGUCUAGCUAUUGGUCAUCCAAUUAGAGUUGAGACAGAUGAUGGCACAUCUCUGGAAGGAUAUAAGUUAACAGUACAGAAAAGAGACAAAAGCAGCAUCUAUCAACUCUGGGGGUUUGGAAAUGAUGGUUCUAUCUAUUGUAAGGCUUAUCCUGAGUUUGUCCUGACCUACCUAGAGGAGCUAAAUGUAAGAGAGGAGGUGACCCAGAUGGAACACCACAUCCACCAUGGGGCCUGGUCUACAGCUCAUCAGGAGAUAGAGAGCAGCUCAGCAGAAGAGGUCACUGUACCAAGCCAGAGGCAGGUUCUGCAAAAAAAUGUCAACAACUCCAAUCAGAAACAACUUUCAGGACCUUUGGACGCCCAUUUAAUGCCUGCAGGUCCCCUAAGGGAGACUAUGCAGCUGACAGUCGCACUGGUGAGGAAACUAGAAGAGAAACAUCCUAAGGCCUCAGCUCAAAGAUGGGCUAUAAAGCAUGAAGGGACAACUAAACCAGGUCAGUGGAAACAUUCCAAAGUGGAGAAUCCGCUGUGGAAUAAGCUGACAUAUAUGUGGCCUAUCCUUCCAAAUGGAGAACUUAAUGAGGAUUUUGACUGGCCAAUUGAGGGAUUGCUCUUCCAAACAGCCCUUCACUUAAGAAACCAGCUGGCAAAA
ensembl:lncRNA